GCAGAAUCUAAGUUCCCCUCGUCGUCACUGUUCUUCCCCCCUGCGCCAGCCAAAUACCCAUCCUCCUCCUCCUCUCUGAUCUCCCCCAAAUCCCGCCGCGAAGACGCCUGUUCUUUUCGGCCUUCCCGAUUCCCGCCCGCGGCGGCGCGAGCCCAGGCCUCCUUCCACCGGCGGAGUCUUCCCUCGUCGAGAGGCACCGCGCCCCCGCCCCCACCCUCACUCGACUGGCGCCGCACUGACGUGGCGCGGAGAUCCAUCUGGGCGGGCUUGCAUUGAUUUGUUCUCCUGUGGGCUUGUUGAACAGUAACACUAUAUGGGAUCGUACUCGACAAGCGAAGUGCUUAAUGCUGCCGCAGUUGGGGUCCAUCAUCCAGCACUCCGUUUGAACGAGCUGGACCUGAAAGGUUCCAUGUCGGUGGAGGAACUACCAACGACGUCAGGCCUGGAGAAUGGACACCAGGCACCAUUUGUUAUUGGUGUUGCUGGAGGUGCAUCUUCAGGUAAAAGUACUGUUUGCAAAAUGAUCAUCGAUCAGCUAUGCGAUCAGCGUGUAGUUGUUGUUACUCAGGAGUCAUUUUAUUAUGGACUGUCUGAUGAGGAAAUGGUCCAUGUUCAUGAUUAUAACUUUGAUCAUCCAGAUGCAUUUGAUACGGAUUUACUACUCUCUUGUAUGGAAAAAUUGAAACAUGGUAAAGCUGUUGACAUUCCAAGCUACGACUUCAAAACACAUAAGAGUGUCUCAUGUGCUAGAAAGGUUAAUCCUUCAGAUGUAAUAAUAUUGGAAGGAAUUCUACUUUUCCAUGAUUCACGUGUCCGUGAUCUAAUGAACAUGAAGAUCUUCGUUGAUACAGAUGCUGAUGUGCGAUUAACAAGGAGGAUCCGUCGUGAUACCAUUGAGAAGGGUAGAGAUAUUAUAGCUGUGUUAGAUCAGUACUCGAAGUUUGUAAAGACAGCUUUUGAAGACUUCAUUCUCCCCACAAAGAAGUAUGCUGAUAUUAUCAUCCCACGAGGCGCAGAUAACAGUGUGGCAAUUGACCUAAUCGUUCAGCAUAUUCGCACUAAACUUGGUCAAAAUGAUCUAUGUAAAAUACACCCAAAUUUAUAUGUUAUCCAGACUACUUACCAGAUACGAGGCAUGCACACAAUAAUACGAGAUGCUGCCACAACGACACAUGAUUUCAUAUUUUAUGCUGAUCGGUUAAUUCGAUUGGUUGUCGAGCAUGGCCUUGGUCAUCUUCCUUUCAGGGAAAAGCAGGUCAUUACUCCAACUGGAUCUGUUUACACUGGUGUGGAUUUCUCAAAAAGUUUAUGUGGGAUAUCAGUGAUUAGGAGUGGUGAAAGUAUGGAGAAUGCUCUGCGGGCAUGCUGUAAAGGCAUAAAGAUUGGGAAGAUUCUUAUUCACAGGGAAGGAGAUGAUGGGAAACAGCUCAUCUAUCACAAUUUACCCAAAGAUAUCGCAAAAAGGCAUGUUCUGUUGCUGGACCCCAUAUUGGGAACAGGAAAUUCAGCUGUUCAAGCUAUCUCUCUUCUCUUGGAGAAGCGUGUACAAGAAGCAAAUAUUAUAUUCCUCAAUCUUAUAUCAGCUCCCCAAGGGGUGCAUGUAGUCAGCAAGAGAUUCCCAAGGGUCAAGAUUGUGACAUCAGAGAUCGAGCUUGGUCUGAAUGAUGAUUUCCGUGUCAUCCCUGGGAUGGGUGAGUUUGGGGACAGAUACUUUGGAACAGAUGAUUAUCAGUCAUCAACGCCAUUCUUUGCUGAUGACAAAAAUCGUGUUGGGCUUUUGUGAGAAUUGCCCAGACAUGCCACCUCCUGCCUGCGGCAUUAUUCAAAUUCUUUUUGAGAAAUUUUAUUCUUAUAUUCCAAACUCUCAGAUGCCAAUACUGUUAUGUUCACUAGCGGAAACUGUAUAUCAUGAGAACGUUCCAAACGGACAUCCACUUGACAUAAAUGGCACAAUAUCAUAUUUUUCAUGCACCUAUACCAAUCUCUUAUCCAGGCUUUGUUCACAGACUAUUCUGUUUGAUACAGCUUGCAAUGUUUUUCACCUCUACCCCAUGAUUAUGUUAUGAAAUACGGC
rnacentral:rRNA from 1 species